rnacentral:rRNA from 1 species
GAUGAACGCUGGCGGCGUGCCUAAUACAUGCAAGUCGAGCGAACAGAUCCGGAUCUUGCUCCGCUGACGUUAGCCGCGCACGGGUGUAUCACACGUGUAUAACCUCCCUAUAAGUCUGAGAUCACUUCGGAACACCGGCUCUAAUCCCGUAUAAUCUCUUGCACCACAUUGUUCAAUAGUGAGAGACGGUUUUGCUGUCUCUUCUCGAUGGAUCUCCGCUGCUUUAGCUAGUUGGUAGGUUAAUGGCUUACCACGGCAAGGAUGCGUAGCCGACCUGAGAGGGGGAUCGCCGACACUGGAAGUGAGACGGGGUCCAGACGCCUAAGGGAGGCAGCAGUAGGGAAUCGGCCGCAGUGGGCGAAAACCUGACGGAGCAAGGCGGAGGGAGUGAUGAAGGUCUUCGGAGCGGAAAACUCUGUUAUUGGGGAAGAACAGAUGUGGAAGGAAAUGUGCAGUUCGUGACGGUACCUAAUCAGAAAGCAACGGCUAACUACGUG